GCCCAAGAGAUCGGGAUAACACCUGGAAACAGAUGCUAAUACCGGAUAAUAACAGAUGAUGCCUAUCAACUGUUUAAAAGAUGGUUCUGCUAUCACUCUUGGAUGGACCUGCGGUGCAUUAGCUAGUUGGUAGGGUAACGGCCUACCAAGGCGAUGAUGCAUAGCCGAGUUGAGAGACUGAUCGGCCACAUUGGGGCUGAGACACGGCCCAAACUCCUACGGGAGGCAGCAGAU
rnacentral:rRNA from 1 species